UACGUAGGGGGCAAGCGUUGUCCGGAUUUAUUGGGCGUAAAGGGCGCGUAGGCGGCCUGACAAGUGGAAGGUGAAAUCCCUCGGCUUAACCGAGGAACUGCCCUCCAAACUGUUUGGCUUGAGACCGGGAGAGGUGAGUGGAAUUCCCAGUGUAGCGGUGAAAUGCGUAGAUAUUGGGAGGAACACCAGUGGCGAAGGCGGCUCACUGGACCGGUACUGACGCUGAGGUGCGAAAGCGUGGGGAGCAAACAGGG
rnacentral:rRNA from 1 species